rnacentral:tRNA from 1 species
GGCAGCAUGGCUCAGUGGAAAGAGCCCGGGCUUGGGAGUGAGAGGUCAUGGGUUCGAAUCCCAGCUCUGCCA